UUAGAAAAUAGUCCAUCAUGGCCGACCAAGGAGAUGUUUAAACAAUCAGCGAUAUGUUAGACCAAAGACAGAAUGAGGGGCGAACUGUUACCACUUAUUUGUAUACGACGCACCGUUCGACAAGUUGAUGAGGUGGCCGGUCUAAGUCAGUCUACAAGCACAACGAAUUCUUACAUCGGACUUGAGUAUGUCACACGUGAGCGCUCGAUGGGUCCCUAGACUACUCACAGUGGAAGAAAAGAUGUUCGAGUCAAAGCAUCAAGAACGUUCAUUCGAAAAGUUGGAAGAGAUCCAUCCUACAUCGCGCGAAUUAUAACAACAGACGAGACUUGCGUCUAUUACUUUGAACCAGACAGUAAACAGGCAUCAAUGGUUUGGAAGCAGGCCGACAGUCCACCUCCUAUAAAGGCGAAGGCAGUAAAGUCGAUGGGAAAGGUGAUGUGCAUCGUCUUUAUAGACAUGCAAGGUGUCAUAUUGGUGCAUAUGGUCAAGCCCGGACAGACGGUCAACUCAAGCUACUAUUCGCAGAUGCUACGCCGCGAUCUCAUGCAUGCGCUACGGAAGAAGCGCCCAGACAUGGCAGCUCAGAUUAAAAACGUAGUAUUGCACCAUGACAACGCCCCAAGCCAUACCACCACGAACACACGAUUAGACAUCGAUGUGUUAGGGUUCCAGUGAGCUAUCCAUCCACCAUAUGCCCCCGAUCUUGCCACAUUGGAUUUCGCAUAUUUUGCAAAGUUGACAUUUUUGCGUGGCACGGUUUAAUGAUAGAACUGAGAUCAGCCAUGCGAUACAAACAUUUAAUCGCGCAUUAGACCGUGAAUGGUUCAUGAACGUUUAUGAGAACUGGGCAAGAAGCCGCCAUAAGUGUAUCGCACAUCAGAGUGAAUACUUUGAGAAUGCAUAAUAUGUGACAUUAUUAU